rnacentral:tRNA from 1 species
GCCCCAGUAGCUCAACGGAUAGAGCAACAGACUUCUAAUCUGUAGGUUGGGGGUUCGAUUCCCUCCUGGGGUAC